AUUGAACGCUGGCGGCAUGCUUUACACAUGCAAGUCGAACGGCAGCGCGGGGGCAACCCUGGCGGCGAGUGGCGAACGGGUGAAGUAAUGUAUCGGAACGUAUCCUGUAAUGGGGGAUAACCAGUCGAAAGAUUGGGUAAUACCGCAUACGCACGAGAGUGGAAAGUAGGGGAUCGCAAGACCUUACGUUAUAGGAGCGGCCGAUAUCUGAUUAGCUAGUUGGUGGGGUAAAGGCCUACCAAGGCGACGAUGCGUAGCCGACCUGAGAGGGUGAUCGGCCACAUUGGGACUGAGACACGGCCCAGACUCCUACGGGAGGCAGCAGGUGGGGAAUAUUGCACAAUGGGGAAACCCUGAUGCAGCGACGCCGCGUGAAGGAUGAAGGUCUUCGGAUUGUAAACUUCUAUCAGCAGGGAAGAAAGGGCCUAUGGCCUAUGACGGUACCUGACUAAGAAGCCCCGGCUAACUACGUG
rnacentral:rRNA from 1 species